rnacentral:rRNA from 1 species
UUACGCGGNGUACGGGUGCGGAACACGUGUGCACUGCUUUAUCUGANGGAUAGCCUUUCGAAAGGAACGAUUAAUACCCCCAUAAAUCAUGUUGAAUGGAUCCAUUCGACAUUGAAAACGUCCGGUGGCAUAGCAGCAUGGGCACGCGCAAGAUUAGAUACGUUGGUGAGGUAACGGCUCCACCAAGUCUACGAUCUUUAGGGAGCCUGAGAGGGUGAUCCCCCACAACUGGUACUUGAGACACUGNGACCAAGACAUCCUACGGGAGUGCAGCAGUGAGUGACUCAUUUGGAACACAUGUGUGAGAGCCUUGAUACCAGCCAUCCCUGGUGACGGACGACUUGCCUAUGGGUUUGUAGAAUUCUUUUGUAUAAGGGAUAAAAACUAAGCAAUCGUGAGGGGUAGUAGAAAGGUACUAUUAGGAAAUAAAGAAUAGAGGUAAGAUUCCUGUUGANAAAGAAGACAGGGUAAUAAUGAANGUGUUGAAAGAUGUUAAUACGGAUAUAAUUGGGGUAUAAAAAGGGGGUCCUGUAAAUGCUGUGGAAUACCUUGGUAAAAGGUCAAGGUUGGUUUNGAAAAAUACUUCAAGCAAGGAGUUAU